UGGGGAAUCUUGCGCAAUGGGCGAAAGCCUGACGCAGCGACGCCGCGUGAGUGAUGAAGGCCUUCGGGUUGUAAAGCUCUGUGGAGGGGGACGAAUAAGGGCCGGCGAACACCCGGCUCGAUGACGGUACCCCUUUAGCAAGCACCGGCUAACUCUGUGCCAGCAGCCGCGGUAAGACAGAGGGUGCAAACGUUGUUCGGAAUUACUGGGCGUAAAGCGCGUGUAGGCUGUUCGGAAAGUCGGAUGUGAAAGCCCUGGGCUCAACCCAGGAAGUGCAUUCGAAACUCCCGAACUGGAGUCCUGGAGAGGAAGGCGGAAUUCUCGGUGUAGAGGUGAAAUUCGUAGAUAUCGAGAGGAACAUCGGUGGCGAAGGCGGCCUUCUGGACAGUGACUGACGCUGAGACGCGAAAGCGUGGGGAGCAAACAG
rnacentral:rRNA from 1 species